rnacentral:rRNA from 1 species
CCUACGGGUGGCAGCAGUGGGGGAUAUUGCACAAUGGGGGGAACCCUGAUGCAGCGACGCCGCGUGGGCGAUGGAGUGCUUCGGCAUGUAAAGCCCUAUCAGCAGGGAAGAAAAUGACGGUACCUGACUAAGAAGCCCCGGCUAAAUACGUGCCAGCAGCCGCGGUAAUACGUAUGGGGCAAGCGUUAUCCGGAUUUACUGGGUUUAAAGGGUGCGCAGGCGGCGUGUCAAGUCAGCGGUAAAAUGUCGGGGCUCAACCCCGGCCGGCCGUUGAAACUGGCGUGCUCGAGUUGGAGAGAAGUAGGCGGAAUUCGUGGUGUAGCGGUGAAAUGCAUAGAUAUCACGAAGAACCCUGAUUGCGAAGGCAGCAUACCGGCUCCACACUGACGCUGAGGCACGAAAGCGUGGGGAUCGAACAGGAUUAGAUACCCUUGUAGUC